UCAAGCACAGUCGAUUCAAAGCGCGUCGAUGCGCGCACCAGCAUCCGAAAAGUCGUUACACGUGUGACUGGGGACUGUUUUCGUCGGUUGUUCACGGGCAUCCUCUCGCCGGAACUAGUUCAGGGUGAAGAAAAUAUCGAGAGGCAUCCUUUCGUUCAGCAAACAAGACUCAACGGGAGGACGGAUAAUGGAAACUCACCGAUUCUGGACGAUGCCGAGCAUGGAGCUCCCUUCGUUACACGACGUGACGCAAGACGCAGCGAGCGACGGACGGCAAACGCCCGGAUCGGACGAGCAACACAUCAAGAGGCCUAUGAACGCUUUCAUGGUGUGGUCGCGCGAGGAACGGAAGAAGAUUUCCAAAGAGAACCCAAAGCUGCACAACUCGGAGAUUUCGAAGAGGCUCGGCUGCGAAUGGAAGAAACUUCCCCAGGAAGACAAGCAGCCGUUCAUCGACGAAGCGAAGAGGCUACGCACCUUACACCAGCAGGAACAUCCGGACUACAAAUACCGGCCCCGAAGAAAAAUGAGGACCUCGUACCGGACUAGCAAACACCAACCCGUCAAUUCCUUCCCCCCGCCCGCCUUCCCUCCUCUGCCGACGUAUUUCGCCACGCCGGCGCAUCCGGUCAAUCAUCACCACACACACUCGUUCGAUUAUUCACCCCUACAACCGUAUUUCGGUACUCCCACUUUCGACCUCCACCUCAACAAGCUGGUAACGGGGAACAAUACUGUCGCAGCAUCGCCCGCCACGGCCUACGCAGUGGCGGCCGCCGCAGCCGCCGAUGCCGUCAACAAUAACGCGAGCGUGGUCGCUAAUAACUUCUACCCGAGUCUCUAUCCACCGGCACCGAUCGCAGGAACUGACGGACCUCAUCCCCAACUAAUGUUCUCUUCCUCACCGAUAUCUGGAUCCAUCAGAAACACCAUUAAUGCAAGCGCAGGCAGUCUCGGGGGUGGCCAGUCAACCCGAUACUCUGGCUCCGAUCAACCCGGAACAGCAGAUCCAUGCUGGGCCUCUUAGGAAUGCUACAGAUACGCGGUAUCCUUUAUAAGUACAUAGCUGUACAUACAUCUUCACAGAUAUAUACUAUUCAGGUAUGCCUGGUUAAGAUACACCACGUCAGCCCGUUACACUCCGAAGUCGUAAAAUGUUUCGCACAUGUUUCAGGGGUCCGAUCUGUGAUGUGACUUUUGACGUGAUAUUUAUAAGGAGUCGGGUCUGGAAGAGUAUUUACCGUAUCAGACGUCCGUAUAAAGAUCGUCAAAAUUCUCGGGACAGACGCGAAAGUACAAGGUGUAUUGUAGAAGCGAAGAAGGCCUUCACCCGAUGUGAUCCAGUCUCGAAAGAGAUGUUCCAGCAUUCGUAACAAGUGCCGCAAAUCUGGCAAGAUGUAAAGUUGCGAGAUGUUCGUGAGAUUUCACGGUGAGCUUCCCUGCUACUAUGAUGCGCAAUACAAUCAAGCGGACCAAUCGGCCCGGCAACGUGAACAACAGAGCGGGAGAAAAAUUGUUUCGGAUCAAGGACUACAUGUGAGAACGAGUUAUCUUGAGAAAUUGCGAGAGAAGUUACUGAAGAACGAGAUUUUACAUUCUACCGGCAGCUCACAAGCUACGACAACGGCAUCGUUAACUUUAAUAUAUCGUUUGUACAAAUGUAAAUAAUAUUUAAAAUACAUUCGUAAGAGAUAUUAAACUACGGUGAAAAGGUAAAACAAAAUAUGCGAAUACCAAAAGAAUGUUCUGUACAAAUUACGUGUAUUAUGAGGAAGCAUAACAUUGGAGAAUGAAAAAAAACACACUGCCGAAAAAAAAGCGGCUCAACAAUGCUGGGUGAAAGUCUUCAAAAAGAUACUAUAAAGGCUCGACGACGGAAAAUAAUUGCCUUCCAUUCAAAACAGCCACAUAGAUUCAAACUUCAUUUUCAGUUCCGGAUUCCUCCAGAUAUAAAAAUUAUUUGAA